rnacentral:tRNA from 1 species
GGGGCUGUAGCUCAGUGGCAGAGCACUUGUCUAGCAUGCAUGAGGUUCUGGGUUCAAUCCUCAGCACCA